rnacentral:rRNA from 1 species
AUGCCAGCAUGGCAAAGAGGGCUCAUUCAAAGGCCGGGCCGGCUAUUUUUGGUACAGUCGGUAGUGGCGGCACGCCCAGUUCAUCAUCUUAUGGUGACGGAAGCGCCGGAGUGGGUGCUAGAGGAUAUGAAUAAAUGGAUGAUAUUAUUCUUCUGGGCGGGCAAAGACAAGUGCAACGGCGGGCAAUGUCUAGUGGCUUGGGAUAAAAUCUGCCAGCCCAAAGCUUUCGGUGGUUUAGGAAUAAAAAACUUGAAAUGGCAAGCUAUGGCGCUUCGAGUCAGGUGGGAAUGGCUAAAGAGGACUGACGCUCAAAGACCAUGGCAGGGGCUUCCUAUGACACCAAACGAGGAGGCGAGAGAGGUGUUUGAUGCGUUGGUCAGUAUAAAGGUGGGUUCGGGCGACAAGGUGCUCUUCUGGAAGGACAAGUGGAUCCAUGGAGUUGUGGCUGCGGAGAUUGCGCCAAUGAUUGUGGCCACCGUCCCGACGAGGACGGCCAAUAGACGUACGGUGCACCAAGCCUUAGAAGAUGGCAGUUGGACACAAGACUUCGAGCAGAGCACCUCCUUCACCGCUCUAAUGUAG